rnacentral:rRNA from 1 species
GAUGAACGCUAGCUACAGGCUUAACACAUGCAAGUCGAGGGGCAGCAUGACGAUAGCUUGCUAUUGUCGAUGGCGACCGGCGCACGGGUGAGUAACGCGUAUCCAACCUUCCCAUAGCUAGGGAAUAACCUUGCGAAAGUAAGACUAAUACCCUAUGAGGUUCUUCGCAGGCAUCUAAAGAGAACGAAAGAUUUAUCGGCAACGGAUGGGGAUGCGUCUGAUUAGGUUGUUGGCGGGGUAACGGCCCACCAAGCCCACGAUCAGUAGGGGUUCUGAGAGGAAGGUCCCCCACAUUGGAACUGAGACACGGUCCAAACUCCUACGGGAGGCAGCAGUGAGGAAUAUUGGUCAAUGGACGGAAGUCUGAACCAGCCAAGUAGCGUGCAGGAAGACGGCCCUAUGGGUUGUAAACUGCUUUUAUGUGGGAAUAAAGUGAGGGACGUGUCCCUUUUUGUAGGUACCACAUGAAUAAGGACCGGCUAAUUCCGUG